rnacentral:rRNA from 1 species
GACGAACGCUGGCGGCGUGCCUAAUACAUGCAAGUCGAACGAGAGCGCCCGGUGCUUGCACUGGUCAAUCUAGUGGCGAACGGGUGAGUAACACGUGGGUAACCUGCCCAUGAGAGGGGGAUAACAUCCGGAAACGGAUGCUAAAACCGCAUAGGUCUUCGAGCCGCAUGGCUUGAAGAGGAAAAGAGGCGCAAGCUUCUGCUGAUGGAUGGACCCGCGGUGCAUUAGCUAGUUGGUGAGGUAACGGCUCACCAAGGCCGUGAUGCAUAGCCGACCUGAGAGGGUGAUCGGCCACAUUGGGACUGAGACACGGCCCAAACUCCUACGGGAGGCAGCAGUAGGGAAUCUUCCGCAAUGGACGCAAGUCUGACGGAGCAACGCCGCGUGAGUGAAGAAGGUUUUCGGAUCGUAAAACUCUGUUGUUAGAGAAGAACAAGUGCUAGAGUAACUGUUAGCGCCUUGACGGUAUCUAACCAGAAAGCCACGGCUAACUACGUG